rnacentral:rRNA from 1 species
GGUCCUACGGGAGGCAGCAGUGGGGAAUAUUGCACAAUGGGGGAAACCCUGAUGCAGCGACGCCGCGUGAGUGAAGAAGUAUUUCGGUAUGUAAAGCUCUAUCAGCAGGGAAGAAAAUGACGGUACCUGACUAAGAAGCCCCGGCUAACUACGUGCCAGCAGCCGCGGUAAUACGUAGGGGGCAAGCGUUAUCCGGAUUUACUGGGUGUAAAGGGAGCGUAGACGGCAGCGCAAGUCUGAAGUGAAAACUAUGGGCUUAACCCAUAGCCUGCUUUUGAAACUGUUUUUCUUGAGUGAAGUAGAGG